GAUUUUCCCUGAAAAUGACAAAAUUUUGCAUCCGGGAUGGGAUCCAAAAUGCAUCCAGGAGGGAUCCAAAUUUACUUUAUCCUAAAGGGGUUACAAAUGGACCUCUCAAUAUGGGUGGAGGGUGUCUAUAUUAAAUGGAAUGGCCGAUUAUACUCCACCACAAUGACAAUUAAAAUUGUCUGCUUUGACAUGCAUGGGUUUUCACCAAAUAUAUUGUUCUUCACUCCGGCUCUGGUGUUGUGAGUAUAGUGUUCUUCACUGUGACGUGUGUGAUGACCUAAACAGUAUUGUGUUCACCAUGUUUUAUACACUGCCAUAAACCUGUCGAGUUGUCAACUUAUAAUCCACUGACAAUUCGGCCUAGAUAAUCUCUGAAAUCACUAAAUAUUUGUACCCUCUUUUGGUAGCAAUUGGGAAUAUAACACAACAUCAAUGUACCACUGUGCCAUCAUAUACCAAAAAUCUACAUACCUUUUUGGGCGAUGGUUCAGAGUCCGAGCUUAUAACGAUACACUCGAGCUCUGUCUCUGACUCUGAUGAUGGCUAUAUUAAUAAUUUAAAAACAUCAAAUCAUAAAAGUUAUUUUAGCUCAAUGUUUUCUGAGUGUUUUUUUUUAAAUAUCAGAUUAUAAUAAGGUUACAAGGUGGAUGCAAUACGAUAUUUUGCAUCGAAAAUGAUGCCAGUUUGAUGCCACACAACAGCAAGCUUUACAAUUGUUUAUAAAUAUAUGCAUGAGGUUGAACGACAAAAUUUACAUGUGCGCAUU